AACGAACGCUAGUGGCAUGCUUAAAACAUGCAAGUCGAACGAGAAAGCACCUUCGGGUGUGAUUAAAGUGGCGCACGGGUGAGUAACACGUAGCUAACGUGCCCUCUCGCUGGGGACAACUCCGGGAAACCGGAGCUAAUACCGAAUGAUCUGACUUAAUCUGCGGAUUGAGUCGGUAAAGCCUUCGGGCGCGAGAGGAUCGGGCUGCGGACCAUUAGCUUGUUGGUGGGGUAAAGGCCUACCAAGGCAACGAUGGAUAGCUGGUCUGAGAGGAUGAUCAGCCACACUGGAACUGAAACACGGUCCAGACUCCCACGGGAGGCAGCAGUUAGGAAUAUUGCACAAUGGGGGAAACCCUGAUGCAGCAAUGCCACGUGAGUGAAGAAGGGUUUCGGCUCGUAAAGCUCUUUCAGCAGGGAAGAAAGGCAACUUGACAUUAUCUGCAGAAGAAGCACCGGCUAACUCCG
rnacentral:rRNA from 1 species